UACAGUGCCCAAAUUUCAGCAUGGAAACCUUCUCGUCAAGGUCGCCUUUCCUCUCUCGUCCCCGCGCCUCCAUUCUCCUCCCUCCACGCUAUCCUCCCGCGCCUCCCUCAUAGCCCCGCCGCCGCCUCCACCACCUCCUCCUCUCUUUGCUUGCCUCCUCUCUCGCUCAAGAAGGCGGACCGAGCGGCGGCGGCAUAUUGUCCGUAGAUGAAGAAGGCGGACACGAGCAUCUUGUCCGCGGAUGGCAGACGUGUUUCUUGCCGCCGCUGCUGCUCCUCUCCCUCGCCUCCUCUGCGACGCUUCCUCCUCUUCUCUUCUCCCGCUCCAGUCAUGGCGGUGGCGGCCGGGCCAGGCAGGGCGGCGGCGGCCGGGAACGGAGAAGCGGCCGGGCUGGGAGAGCGUCCUCGUCGCCUUCAACCUCCCCACGCGAGGAUGACAUUAGUCUGCAAUUGUACUCAAUGAACGAUAGCAGUUUUGUUUGCAAAUAGGUUCAGAAAUUUGGUUUCCUGCACACAUCAUAUCAAGAGGAAAAAGUAGGGACGGUGAAGCCUUGGGUUACAUGACAACUGCAAAAAACUUUUCAAACAGGUGUGCCUGCAAUGUAACAUUGGAUUUCAGCAAUAUUAUUGGUUCUGCAUACAAGGAUACUACCAAAUGGAGUUGAAAUUGCAGCUGCGUUGAGUUUGGUGACAUUUGCAAAGGAUUGGUUGAAAGAACAGAGUCACAAUACAGGAAAAUAAUAGUAAAACACGCAACAAAACAUAUAUCUGGAAAAGUUUACGCCGUACUGAUGGGUUGUUCUCCUGUUUUUGACUGCAUCCUUGCGCCGUCGUUACAACCGAUUUCCAAAGGCUAAACCUUGAAAUCAAAUGUAAUUUUGAAGCCAUUCUUGAUUAUUUUGCCAGCUGCGGUACAUGAUCAGAACUAAGGCGACAAUGGCCAGACUAUGUCUGGUGCAUAGAUUUAAUUGAUACAUUGCCAGUUUGGACAACACCUUCAAACAUUAUCUUGGAAAGAGUUCAUCUGCACAACAAGACUUGGAUGGAAAGGCCUUUCUGCCCCAGCACAACAUAACUCCUGGAGUCAUAUUCGGCCUCCCAAGGUCCUACUAGGGUUGUUCUUUCUAAGGGCGAAGCAUCGCCUGUUGUGCCAAUGCCGGGCAAAAGGAAUAGCUCUCUUGAAGGACAAAAUGCUGUAACUCUCUUCAUAUACAAGAUAGAACCUAUGACUUCAAUUCCGGUAUAAUUUCGCCACUUGCGCCUGUGGCGCAAUGGGUCAUAUAUUCUCUGAGUUUCCCUAAUGUUCCUGAAGGCUGCCCUCAUGUUUGCUAAUGUUUGAUUUGUGCUGUCGCAAGUAGCUUUUGUUUGCACUACUGGACGAACUAUGUUGAGCUUUACUUCUAGGAGGCAAAUUACUCUUUAGCUCUUUGAUACUAAGAUUUUACAGGACAUUUUACACGGCUCUUUGAUCACAUCUCCUGGUAUUUUGGGUCUUUCAGGUGAUAGAAAUAGCCAGAUGGAUCAUGAAAACAUUGUGAAGAUGGUGAGAUAUUGCAAGGAGUCUUAUCCGUUCUGAGGAAUGCUUGUCUUUGAGUACCAGCCAAAUGGGACCCUCUACUAGCAUCUUCACGAUGGGAAAGGAUGUUAACUAUCUUGGCCAUGGCGGGCGAAGAUUGUGCUCAGCAUCGCGCGCAUUCUAAGACACUUCACACUGAGCCGAUGGCUCUGUUCGCGCUCCCCGUGUUGACGGCCAGUUCAGUCUAUUAGUUAUAACAUGGCUUCUUCACUGCAGUUGACAACGAAGACUGCAGGGUGAAAACCCCACAGCAAAUUUAUUGAUUAGUAAAGUCAUAUACAAAAGAUUUGCAAAGGUUAGAGAGUCAUCUAGCUAUAACAGAGAGUCAAUCCAUAUUGCAAACUGUUGUGAGUACUUGGCUUUCACCCUAUGCAAGUGCAGGGUGAUCUCAUGCCUAAAUUUGCUUGUCCAGGAUCUAAAAGAUGGCAACACAUUCUGAAAAAUAGCUUCAUUUGAUCAUUUCUCUGUUUCCAAAUGUGACAGGCAGCCAGAAUAACACUGCUGCUUUGUCAACAUAAAACUCUGCUCAAUGGAGUUACCCUGCUGCCAGUGAAUCUGUAGAUAGUUCCAUAUCCUGAUGCUAAAGUUGCAGCCAAAAAAGAGAUGCAUCCAAUCCUCAGUGCACCUUGUGGGACACAACACACAGUGAAAGACAUUCUCCAAAAAAAAACACGCACAGUGAAAGACAUCAGUGGUAAAGCUGCUGCCUUGUGACCAUGAGGUCAUGGGUUCAAGUCCUGGAAACAGCCUCUUACAGAAAUGUAGGGAAAGGCUGUGUACUAUAGACCCAAAGUGGUCGGACCCUUCCCUGGACCCUGCGCAAGCGGGAGCUACAUGCACCAGGUUGCCCUUUGAAAGACAUCAGUGACAUUCCAGUGUCUUCUGCGAAGCAUGUCUCUGGUAUUUAGUAUAUCACUGAAAAGCAGCCAAGCAUGGUAUUUUCAAUUUAAAUCAUGUAAGUGUGGUUUUUCAUGGAUGUGAUACUCCGUGCUGCAAUCAUUUGGCAAUCAUUCUUGCCAUGAAGAAAUCGUAGAGAUUACAACCUUUGAGAAGGUUAAAGAUACAAUAUGUUCUCCUCGAGUAAAAUUAGUUCUGCGCAUUCUGAAAUAGAAGUUAUGUCUUGCAACUUCUGGUCACUGCUCUUUGCUAUAAGAAUCAUUGGUUGUUCAGGUAAAAAUAAUAAUCAUUGGUUGUAAUGAGCAUUCAUAGGGCAUAUUGUGGUGUUUAAAAUCUGAAUAGUCAGUUGCUCUUUUAUUUCUUUAUUGCAGCUACCAUCCCAUAUUAAAUCCCUUUGCAUGUAUUGACUAUUUGUUCUGGAUUCUGGUCAAAACAAAAACAUUAAUGUUGAAAACUAAAUAUGCAAUUUUGACUGUAAGAAAUUUAACUAAUGUCAUUUGUAUUUCAAUCAAAUAACUUAAUAAUGGUUUAAGCUCUGGACUGCUGCUUUUGCCCGCAAAAGAUUAAUUUCCCUUUUACAGGUUUUUGUACAGCUGUUGAUUGUGCAAUGCUCAUGCUUUUGUAGAGUGAAAGAUAGAAUCUUGCCAUUUCCGUUGGAUUUCAUGAAUUUUUGCAGAUGUGUGGGUAGAAGAAAUCCAAAAGGGAAGCACAUAGCGAUCACAUUGGAGCCCUCAUUGUCGUCGAUGGAAACACUGAAGCGUCGAUGGAAACACUGAAGCGAGGUUUCAUACUUAUAAUUUGUACUCCCUCCGUCCCAAAAUUCAUGUCGCAGUGGUCAUUUUGCAAUUUACUCCUCAGCUUUUUCCCGACCAAACCCGAAGUCCCUCUGUGUAGUCGCUCUCUUCCUCCUUCUCCGACUGGCCGGCGCUGCCUGCGCCGCUCCCCUCCGCGCAGCUCCACGCCGCUUGCGCCUCCUCUCCCUCCCUCGCGGUUCCUCUCCCUCCCCAGCACAGGCGCCCUCUCCCUUGUGUGCGUCACCGGCGCUCUCUUCCUCUCGCAUGUCCCUCCGCAUUGGUGAAAAUGCGAUUUUCCCCUUCGGCACUCCGAUCUGCAGCGGCCGUGCUCAAACUGCGGUGGGGACUACCAAGACGGCGCGACGGAGCUGCUUUUGUCGGUCGCCUGCACGGGGCUCCUGCUGCCGGUCGUCAGGUGAGGAGCGCGUCUCCUGCAGCUGCGACUACCUGGCCACGCAGCAGCGGCGGCGGGAUGGUGGCGUCAAGGGGGCUCCUCCGUCCGCUCUAGGACUCCACUCCGCCAAAGGGGGCGAGCUCCUCCGUCCGCUCUAGGACUCCACCGCCAUGGGGGCACGCCCUUGCAUCCGGGAGGUGCUCGAGCUUGUCAAAGGUGCCCCUCCCCUUCCCCCACUGGAUCCUAUUUGCUGGUGAAUUGCAGGUCCAAGUCACUGAAUGUAUUGGCAGAGUUCAUAUUUAGACUGAAUGUUUACUACUCCUGUCAAUAGCAUAUUGAAUUUUUAGACAAUUUAAUCUUGAAGUAUAAACUGAAUGUUUAGACAGAGUUUUUAUUCAUGUCUAAGUAUAAACUGAAUGCUGCUCGUCUUUAGUAAUGCUACCUCGUAACGGCAGGAUUCCUGGCGCACCAUGGCCGUACAUCUGUUUCGCCCCUCAUUAGCCCGAUUUUAGUUUGGCAGUGUUGGGGAUUGGGAUGUGCUGAUUAGGUGCGUGCUUCUUCUAUGUAGAAACUAGUUGAUCUACUGCUUGGCAGAAAAGGAGGACAUUUACAUUUUCUCAAACUACACUCAAACCAGUUAGAGUUAGGGCUUUACACUUUAGAAGAACUGAGCUCUGAAUAUUCAUCUGUUUUAAUAAAAAAAAUCAGGGUUUCCGCUUGAAUGGAAGAAGCACCUUUUGCUAUUCCCUUUUUGUGUCCGCUAACAAUACUAAAAUGUCAUCAAGCUGAACUUACAAAUGAUUCCUCUAUGAGCUCCAGUUUCAUGUACUGUCUGUCUUUGCUGCACUUCCAUUUUCGUCAUUCUGUAGCAGCUAAAACAUGGUGCGGCAUUGUCACCUCCAGAACAAUGGAGAAAGACUUGAUCAGAGUUCUUAUUCAGAGUUCUGGGCUUCAGAGCUCGGUCUGAAUUUGUAAGAGAGAUCUAGGUGUGAACUAUGAACUAGGAGCUGUACUCACAUUGCACAUAAAGAAGAUGCUGUAAACUGUCUUGGUGAAUUUGUUCCAAUUGCAGAAAAUUCAGUCACUCUAACUGCGCAUAAAGUAAAUUUUAGAAUGACUGAAUUUUAGAAUUCGUUCGAAUUGCUGAAAAUACUCCAUGUUCAAGUUGAAAAUGGCUGUGGAGAAUUUUAGAAAGUGGCAUUUGUAAUCAGUGUGCUAUCUUUUGAGUUGCUGUAUUAAUAUAGGAGUACUCUGUUUAGAACAUGGAGCAAAUUCAGUAGACAUUUUUACAAGAAUUCAGUAGAUUUCUUUUGUACUGAAAACUUUAGACUUGCUUUUGUACUGCUCCAGCUUACUCAAAACUUCAGAACAUGUUCAGUUUUCAGUUAAUUCCAUACAAGGGACUCUUGCUUUUUUACUAAAGCUAGAUUGCAAUUGCAGUAGAAGAUAAUCUCAUAUCAUCAGAUAUCAUAUCAUCUACUGAUGAUGAGAUUAGCAAAGGCCUUGCUUGCCAAGCAUACAGAUUAGCAAAGGCCUUGCUUGCCUCAUUAGUUGCUGUAGUUGUCAAGCAAAAAUUUCAUUCCACUAACCCAAAUUAAUUCAAAUAAUUCAAAACUGUCUGACAAUGAUACUUCACUUAAUGUCGUAAUGGUACCACAUUCAGCAGGCAAGAAUCUGAAGGACUUAUUGGAUCAUGGAGCAAGGGAUAAGUACAUAUUCUUCUUGCAGUAAGUGGUUUAGCUGUUGUUAGCUGGACAUGCAAAAUUCUCCUUACUAUUGUUAGCUGUUGAACUUUGUACUACUCCAGUGGUAGAUUUUGGGUAGUUAAACAUCUCUACUCUCUUAUUUCUGCUUAUUGUUUUAAUAUUUUUCCAGAUCGUUUUGCGGAAGAUAGUCCAUUAGUUUGACAACAUUCUGUCUAAUAAAUCAUACUACAAACAGUUUCUACAGCCAUUCUCUUGUUUAUUCCUCUGGUACUGAUAGAAGUCCAAGAGCUGUGGAUGCAUCUAUGUGCUUGUGAAUCCAUGCUAAAUUGGAAUGGAGUACAUUUUUUUUUAAAACAAGUCAGUUACUUAAUUAUCAGGUCUGUACUCAUGUGCCAUGCAUAAAUUGUGUUAUCUUGAAUGACUGAUCUAAGUCACAUAUCUUACGAGUUAAUUUUUGAUAUAGCAAGCAACAACAUGAUGAAGAGAUUACAACAACAACAGUCGCUACAGAUCAAUCGACAGGGGAAGAACAGCAGAAGACCAGAGAUUAUUGUACCUUCUUCUUCAGAGAAGAUCAGCAGCGAAGAACAGCAGGUCAGCACGAGCAUGAGCUCCACCGGCAAGCAUGCAGCGUGGGCGAGCGUGCACGCACCCGAGCGUGGGUGAUACUCCAAUGGCAGCGGCGCCGGUUUUUGGUCACCGGAGGAGCUACUGACGAGCUCCAAUGGCAGCAAGCGGCAGACCACCACGGCCAGGAGAACCAGCAACCAAUUGACAGGGGAAAAGUGACCUGGAGGACCCGAAGAUCACCCUGAAGCUGUUGAGCCGCUCGGGGAAACCAGAGGAGGAGCGAUGGCGUUGAGCUCGUGUGCAGAUUCGGCGGCCGGAAUGGGAGGAGACGGUAUCGAUUUCGUCGAUCAGGGGCUUCCCAGCAAGCAUGGCUCAAGGAGGGCGUAGGUAUCGGCAAGGCGGAGCUCCUGAUAUGCUCGGGAAGGACUGAGGAGGUGCGACGGCGCCGAGCCCCUGUGCGGACGCCGCUGUCGGAGGGGGAGGAGACGGGCUCGUUUUUGGAGUGGGGACAGCUCCUGUGCGGAAGCAGCAGCCGACAGCAAGGGAGAAUCUGCAGGUUAAGAUGCAGCAGCGGUAGGAGCUCCACCGGCAGCAGCGACAGGAGCUCCACCGGCCUGGAGCCCGGCCAGCGACAGGAUCUUCCCCCGACCUGAGCCUGCGUGCGGGUUGCUUUGAGAUAAUUUGAAGUUGCAGAAGGGUGUUUUUGUAAAAAAAUGCGGUAGUUCAAAAUUGAAACCCCCUACGACAUGAAUUUCAGGACGGAGGGAGUAUAUAGCUGCAAUGAUUUUGAAUUUGUAAUGACCCGAUAAAUCACGGGUGGACAUGCGGCCAUGUGAGGAUGGUAUCUCAUCCGUUCGUUGCACAAAGAUCAAUGCAAUAAUUAUACAACGAGUCAUGUAUAUUGAUUUC